UGGGGAAUAUUGCACAAUGGGCGAAAGCCUGAUGCAGCAACGCCGCGUGAGUGAUGAAGGCCUUCGGGUUGUAAAGCUCUGUCUUUUGGGACGAUAAUGACGGUACCAAAGGAGGAAGCCACGGCUAACUACGUGCCAGCAGCCGCGGUAAUACGUAGGUGGCAAGCGUUGUCCGGAUUUACUGGGCGUAAAGGAUGCGUAGGCGGAUUUUUAAGUGAGAUGUGAAAUACCCGGGCUUAACUUGGGUGCUGCAUUUCAAACUGGGAAUCUAGAGUGCGGGAGAGGAGAAUGGAAUUCCUAGUAUAGCGGUGAAAGUGCGUAGAGAUUAGGAAGAACACCAGUGGCGAAGGCGAUUCUCUGGACCGUAACUGACGCUGAGGCAUGAAAGCGUGGGUAGCAAACAGGAUUAGAUACCCUGGUAGUCCACGCCGUAAACGAUGAGUACUAGGUGUAGGAGGUAUCGACCCCUUCUGUGCCGCAGUUAACACAAUAAGUACUCCGCCUGGGAAGUACGAUCGCAAGAUUAAAAAGCUCAAAGGAAUUGACGGGGUCAUAGCUGUUUUCCU
rnacentral:rRNA from 1 species